rnacentral:rRNA from 1 species
AUGGCUCAGGAUGAACGCUGGCGGCGUGCCUAACACAUGCAAGUCGAGCGAUUACUUCGGUAAAGAGCGGCGGACGGGUGAGUAACGCGUGGGUAACCUGCCUCAUACACAUGGAUAACAUACCGAAAGGUAUGCUAAUACAGGAUAAUAUAAGAGAUUCACAUGGAUUUCUUAUCAAAGCUCCGGCGGUAUGAGAUGGACCCGCGUCUGAUUAGCUAGUUGGUAAGGUAAUGGCUUACCAAGGCGACGAUCAGUAGCCGACCUGAGAGGGUGAUCGGCCACAUUGGAACUGAGACACGGUCCAAACUCCUACGGGAGGCAGCAGUGGGGAAUAUUGCACAAUGGGCGAAAGCCUGAUGCCAGCAACGCCGCGUGAGUGAUGAAGGCCUUCGGGUCGUAAAACUCUGUCCUCAAGGAAGAUAAUGACGGUACUUGAGGAGGAAGCCCCGGCUAACUACGUGCCAGCCGCUGC